rnacentral:rRNA from 1 species
AGAGUUUGAUCAUGGCUCAGGAUUAACGCUGGCGGCGUGCCUAACACAUGCAAGUCGAACGGACCUUUAUUUUUGAGAGCUUCUUUAUAGGAUUUCUCAUAAAUACUGGUUAGUGGCGAACGGGUGAGUAACACGUUGGUACCUGCCCUCUAGUGGGGGAUAACUGGCCGAAAGGUCAAAUACCGCAUGUGAUCUACGGAUCAAAGCAGCAAUGCGCUAGAGGAGGGGCCUGCGGCUGAUUAGCUUGUUGGUAGGGUAAUGGCCUACCAAGGCGACGAUCAGUAGCUGGAUCGAGAGGUUGACCAGCCACACUGGGACUGAGAUACGGCCCAGACUCCUACGGGAGGCAGCAGUGAGGAAUUUUCCACAAUGGACGAAAGUCUGAUGGAGCAACGCCGCGUGCAGGAUGACGGCCUUAGGGUUGUAAACUGCUUUUAUUUGGGAAGAUUAUGACGGUACCAAAUGAAUAAGGAUCGGCUAACUACGUGCCAGCAGCCGCGGUAAUACGUAGGAUCCAAGCGUUAUCCGGAAUUACUGGGCGUAAAGCGUACGUAGGUGGAAAUUUAAGUGAGAUGCGAAAUCUGGCGGCUCAACCGUCUAGACUGUGUCUCAUACUGGGUUUCUUGAGGUUGGCAGAGGCAAGUGGAAUUUCCGGUGUAGCAGUGAAAUGCGUAGAGAUCGGAAGGAACACCAAUGGCGAAGGCAGCUUGCUGGGCCACACCUGACACUGAGGUACGAAAGCGUGGGGAGCGAACAGGAUUAGAUACCCUAGUAGUCC